UCAACCAGGAAAUCACCAUAUUAUUGCAUCUGUCCCAUAGUCUUUGCUGAGUCACAUUAGUGGCUGGCCGGGGACAAGUGCCAUCAACAAAAUCGAUUUUGUUUUUAGCAGAUAACGCGGCAAUCAUCUUCCUCCUCCAACCCCCAUAGCCACUGCCCGAGAAGGGAGUGGACACAAGAGAGACUCCAGGAACAUCAGAGGAGUAGAUAAAAAGGGGACUGGUAUGGUCCACUGAGGAGGUACUAGCAUUCAUAUUAGAAGCCAUGAACAACAAUCAGUUACAGGAACAUCAGAGGAGUAGAUAAAAGGGGACUGGUAGGGUCCAAUGAGGAGGUACUAGCAUUCAUAUUAGAAGCCAUGAACAACAAUCAGUUUGAAAUAAAAAAAAAGUCUCAGAACCCACAUGCAAAACAUACAACACUUAGAACAGGGAUAGAGUUACCCUCAUUCUUCGCGACCGGAGAAGAACGGCCUUCAAUCGCCAGAUAAAAACCCUAGGUUCAAAACCCUAGGUCCAACCGCCGGAAACCUUACUGGAAACUUACUGAAAUAGGGUCAGGGAUGUCGUAAAGUCACCCAAAACAUCCACUGAGUGAGGAUCGAGCCACCGGAUAGCAGUAAAACCCUAGGUUCAACCACCAGAAACCCUAGAAUCUGGAGAGAAAAAAGUCUCAGAACCCACAUGCAAAACAUACAACACUUAGAACAGGGAUAGAGUUACCCUCAUUCUUCGCGACCGGAGAAGAACGGCCUUCAAUCGCCAGAUAAAAACCCUAGGUUCAAAACCCUAGGUCCAACCGCCGGAAACCUUACUGGAAACUUACUGAAAUAGGGUCAGGGAUGUCGGAAAGUCACCCAAAACAUUCACUGAGUGAGGAUCGAGCCACCAGAUAGCAGUAAAACCCUAGGUUCAACCACCAGAAACCCUAGAAGCCGGAGAGUCACCGAGAAAUCACCCAAAAGUCACCGGAAAAUCUCCCAGAACGAUCGAGUGAAGAAGAUAUACUUAGAUAUCGCGAUGAAAGUCUCAGAAAAAUAUCCGAUUUAGAUAGGAAUCGUCAUCGACCACAUACGUCAGAAAACACCCCCAAAAAUCUC
rnacentral:lncRNA from 1 species